rnacentral:rRNA from 1 species
CUAAGCCAUGCGAGUCAUUGUAGCAAUACAAGGCAGACGGCUCAGUAACGCGUAGUCAAUCUACCCUAUGGACGGGAAUAACCUCGGGAAACUGAGAAUAAUGCCCGAUAGAACAUUAUGCCUGGAAUGGUUUAUGUUUCAAAUGAUUUAUCGCCAUAGGAUGGGACUGCGGCCUAUCAGUUUGUUGGUGAGGUAAUGGCCCACCAAGACUAUUACAGGUACGGGCUCUGAGAGGAGUAGCCCGGAGAUGGGUACUGAGACACGGACCCAGGCCCUAUGGGGCGCAGCAGGCGAGAAAACUUUGCAAUGUGCGAAAGCACGACAAGGUUAAUCCGAGUGGUUUCUGCUAAAGAAACCUUUUGUCAGUCCUAGAAACACUAACGAAUAAGAGGUGGGCAAGUUCUGGUGUCAGCCGCCGCGGUAAAACCAGCACCUCAAGUGGUCAGGAUGAUUAUUGGGCCUAAAGCAUCCGUAGCUCGUUUUGUAAGUUUUCGGUUAAAUCCAUGCGCUUAACGUAUGGGCUGCCGGGAAUACUGCAUAACUAGGAAGUGGGAGAGGUAGACGGUACUCGGUAGGAAGGGGUAAAAUCCUUUGAUCUAUUGAUGACCACCUGUGGCGAAGGCGGUCUACCAGAACACGUUCGACGGUGAGGGAUGAAAGCUGGGGGAGCAAACCGGAUUAGAUACCCGGGUAGUCCCAGCUGUAAACUAUGCAAACUCAGUGAUGCAUUGGCUUGUGGCCAAUGCAGUGCUGCAGGGAAGCCGUUAAGUUUGCCGCCUGGGAAGUACGUACGCAAGUAUGAAACUUAAAGGAAUUGGCGGGGGAGCACCACAAGGGGUGAAGCCUGCGGUUCAAUUGGAGUCAACGCCAGAAAUCUUACCCGGAGAGACAGCAGAAUGAAGGUCAAGCUGAAGACUUUACCAGACAAGCUGAGAGGAGGUGCAUGGCCA